rnacentral:rRNA from 1 species
UGGGGGGCCCUACGGGAGGCAGCAGUGGGGAAUAUUGCACAAUGGGCGAAAGCCUGAUGCAGCGACGCCGCGUGAGGGAUGACGGCCUUCGGGUUGUAAACCUCUUUCAGCAGGGAAGAAGCGAAAGUGACGGUACCUGCAGAAGAAGCGCCGGCUAACUACGUGCCAGCAGCCGCGGUAAUACGUAGGGCGCGAGCGUUGUCCGGAAUUAUUGGGCGUAAAGAGCUCGUAGGCGGCUUGUCGCGUCGGUUGUGAAAGCCCGGGGCUUAACCCCGGGUCUGCAGUCGAUACGGGCAGGCUAGAGUUCGGUAGGGGAGAUCGGAAUUCCUGGUGUAGCGGUGAAAUGCGCAGAUAUCAGGAGGAACACCGGUGGCGAAGGCGGAUCUCUGGGCCGAUACUGACGCUGAGGAGCGAAAGCGUGGGGAGCGAACAGGAUUAGAUACCCUGGUAGUCCACGCCGUAAACGGUGGGCACUAGGUGUGGGCGACAUUCCACGUCGUCCGUGCCGCAGCUAACGCAUUAAGUGCCCCUGCCUGGCGA